GCUGUGGGAACGCUUCGCCGCGCCAAUGCGCGUGCGCUGGGGCAGGGCCACGGUUCUCCGAGUUGGAGAUGGCAGCGGCCGAGGUAACUUCGCCGGAGCCGGCGGCUUCAGAACAGUCGGCGGAGCUGCCAGCCUCUUUGCGGGCGAGCAUCGAGCGGAAGCGGCAGCGGGCGUUGAUGCUGCGCCAGGCCCGGCUGGCCGCCCGGCCCUACGCGGCGACGGCGGUUGCGGCUACCGGAGGCAUGGCUAAUGUAAAAGCAGCCCCAAAGAUAAUUGACACAAGAGGAGGCUUCAUUCUGGAAGAGGAAGAAGAAGAAAAACAUACAAUUGGGAAUGUUGUUCAUCAACCAGGACCUGUUAUGGAAUUUGAUUAUGCAAUAUGCGAAGAAUGUAGUAGAGAAUUUAUGGAUUCUUAUCUUAUGAACCACUUUGAUUUGGCAACUUGUGAUAACUGCAGAGAUGCUGAUGAUAAACACAAGCUUAUAACUAAAACAGAAGCAAAACAAGAAUACCUUCUGAAAGACUGUGAUUUAGAAAAAAGAGAACCAGCUCUUAAAUUUAUUGUGAAGAAGAAUCCUCAUCAUUCUCAGUGGGGUGAUAUGAAACUCUACUUAAAAUUACAGAUUGAGAAGAGGGCUCUCGAAGUUUGGGGAAGUCAGGAAGCAUUAGAAGAAGCCAAGGAAGUUCGACAGAAAAACCGAGAAAAAAUGAAACAGAAGAAGUUUGAUAAAAAAGUAAAAGAGGUUGGUGGAUAUGCUCCUGUCCUCCUGACUAGGCCACAAGGGGCUGAGAGUGGAGUAGACACUGUAGAGAUUAGAAACAAGGAGCUUGCUAUGCAGUUUGCUCAGAAGGCUCAGGACAGAGAGGAAUAGAAGGAAAUCAAAAAGUUUUUUAGUUGAAAAGAACUUGGAACCUGGUUCCUCUUGGUCUUCUGAUUUUGAUCCACAAAGAAGCUGACACAAAAUUUACUUCUUUAUGGAAAGAAUUACGGCGAGCAGUAAGAAGCAGUGUUUGGAAAAGGGAAACAGCUGCUCACCAGCAUGAGUAUGGACCAGAAGAAAGCCUAGAAGAUGACAUGUACCGGAAGACUUGUACUGUGUGUGGCCAUGAAUUGACAUAUGAGAAAAUGUGAUUUUUAGUUAAGCGAUGUUUGACAGUUUUAUAUUUAGAUAAAGGAAAUUUAUAUCGGUCUUGUUUAAAAUUCA